GCGCGAAACCUCCGCAAUGUGAGAAAUCGCGACGGGGGGAUCCCAAGUGCCAUUCUUAACGGGAUGGCUUUUCAUUAGUGUAAAGAGCUUUUGGAAUAAGAGCUGGGCAAGACCGGUGCCAGCCGCCGCGGUAACACCGGCAGCUCUAGUGGUAGCAGUUUUUAUUGGGCCUAAAGCGUCCGUAGCCGGUUUAAUAAGUCUCUGGUGAAAUCCUGCAGCUUAACUGUGGGAAUUGCUGGAGAUACUAUUAGACUUGAGAUCGGGAGAGGUUAGAGGUACUCCCAGGGUAGAGGUGAAAUUCUGUAAUCCUGGGAGGACCGCCUGUUGCGAAGGCGUCUGACUGGAACGAUUCUGACGGUGAGGGACGAAAGCUAGGGGCGCGAACCGGA
rnacentral:rRNA from 1 species